rnacentral:rRNA from 1 species
GACGAACGCUGGCGGCGUGCUUAACACAUGCAAGUCGAACGAUGAAGCUGGAGCUUGCUCCGGUGGAUUAGUGGCGAACGGGUGAGUAACACGUGAGUAAUCUGCCCUUGACUCUGGGAUAACUGCGGGAAACUGUAGCUAAUACCGGAUACGACACCUUCGGGCAUCCGAUGGGUGUGGAAAGAAUUUCGGUCAAGGAUGAACUCGCGGCCUAUCAGCUAGUUGGUGAGGUAAUGGCUCACCAAGGCGACGACGGGUAGCCGGCCUGAGAGGGUGACCGGCCACACUGGGACUGAGAUACGGCCCAGACUCCUACGGGAGGCAGCAGUGGGGAAUAUUGCACAAUGGGCGCAAGCCUGAUGCAGCGACGCCGCGUGAGGGAUGACGGCCUUCGGGUUGUAAACCUCUUUCAGCACCGACGAAGCGCAAGUGACGGUAGGUGCAGAAGAAGGACCGGCCAACUACGUGCCAGCAGCCGCGGUAA